rnacentral:rRNA from 1 species
GACGAACGCUGGCGGCGUGCUUAACACAUGCAAGUCGAGCGGCAAGGCCCUUUCGGGGGUACACGAGCGGCGAACGGGUGAGUAACACGUGGGUGACCUGCCCUCAGCUCUGGGAUAAGCCUGGGAAACCGGGUCUAAUACUGGAUAUGACUCCAUGACGCAUGUUGUGGGGUGGAAAGCCUUGUGCGGCUGAGGAUGGGCCCGCGGCCUAUCAGCUUGUUGGUGGGGUGAUGGCCUACCAAGGCGACGACGGGUAGCCGGCCUGAGAGGGCGACCGGCCACACUGGGACUGAGACACGGCCCAGACUCCUACGGGAGGCAGCAGUGGGGAAUCUUGCGCAAUGGGCGAAAGCCUGACGCAGCGACGCCGCGUGAGGGAUGACGGCCUCGGUGU